CAAAACUCUUAACUCUGAGCCAAGGUGAUUCUGAGAAUGAGUGGUCCUCACUUUAAGGCCUAUAUCAGUCUAACCUGAACGGUGAAUGAUUGGUGUCUGGAUUGGCAUUAUGAAAGGCAGGGCAGACUGUUAACAUUUGCUGUAGUGUCAGAAAGCAAGUCCAAGACACCCACUGGGUGCUGGAAAGAGUGCAGAGAAGCUUUCCUAGUGGACUUCCCGGAGGCCAGGGGAGGGCCCCUCGCUCCUCCCAAGAGGGAUGAAACACCAGGAUAUGGGAAACUUUCCUGAUUCAGCCAGCCCUUGGAUGUCAAGGAGACAAACGCUGGACUGGAGCUCCGGCAUAAAAGGAGAUGUGCCAUUUUCAUAUGUUCCACACAUACUCAGAGAACCUGCUUGGAAUAUUUUUGCUGAUGAAAUUUUCUGGGUUGUAACAUUCAUCUCUUUGAAAAGCUUGCUUCCUAUAACCCCACGUGGAGGUUUGUGCUUUUACUUCUCUCUGCGAUGCCAUCUACACGUGGAUUUUUGUGUCAACUGCUUAUCUC
rnacentral:lncRNA from 1 species